GUAGAGACAAGGUCUUGCCACGUUGCCCAGAUUAGUCUCAAACUCUUGAGCUCAAGUGAUCCUCCUGCCUCAGCCUCCCAACGUGCUGUGUUUACAGGUGUAAGCCACUGUGCCCAGACUAUUUUCACCUCUUUGAGCCUGUUUCUUCAUCUGUAAGAUGGAAAUGACAUGAGUACUUACCUCAGAGUAGCUGUGAGGAUUAAAUAAGAAUUAACGUUAUGCUCUAGCAUGACAAUUAUCAUCUAUGAGCACUCAAUAAGUUGUAAUUCCAAUUAUUAUUAUGCAAUAAACACUACCGUUUCUAAUACAACUCCAUCUCUUCUAUUUCAGGAGAAAUGUUGUCUUAUCUUCAGUUUCUUUAUUGUCAGGAGCUAUUCCUCUGGGGACUGUGAUCUCAUGGGGGAAAGGCACCCACAUGAGAAAAGCAAAGAAAAUAAUGUAGUCUACAAUUCUGGUAUGCAUAUCCUUGGGGAAACAGGAAAAGAGGAAUAAAGACGGGACUUUGUAAGCUAGUAAAGGACAGGAAGUAGGGCAAAGUGUGUGACUAAGAGCGC
rnacentral:lncRNA from 1 species